AGGCUACCCAUGUAUUGUGUGUAACGGUAUUCAUGCAAACACCGCUUGUGUUAGGAGAACAAAAAUUAUCAAAUUUAUUCAGUAAUGAUGAAAUAAUUGAGAAACCCACAUCAUGAACAAUAGACAGAUCUGCAGAGAACACACCAACUUGUAAAGGCCUUAAAAAGUUGUAUAUUUCUAUCGGUAAAAUAAAAUAAACAUCAAAUAUAAAGUAAGAUUAAAUAUUUAAUCAGAGUUUAAUAUUAUAUGUACACAAUAAUUACAUAACAUUAGAAAUAUUUCAAUGAAGUGUAAAUAUAACACAGUUUAUUAUUUUAGCACACUUUAUAAGCACAGUUGAUGGUUCACAUAUUCAUAUUUAACACAGUUAUUUGCUGUAACUUAUCAAUGAACACUAGUUGAUGAAUUUAUGUUGUCCAUUCCUGAUUGAUAAGUUAGCACAGGGGCCUGGUUCCUCGAAUGACACAUGUAUAUAGAUCUCCUUAUGCAAAGUUGGCCUUGAUGCUUUAUGAAAUUUCCUACUGUCUGAGUUUGUGACAUAUUGCCUUUUUGCUCACAGAAACCAGUCUCUUGACUUUGUUGAACAAGAUGUGAUUUCUGAACCUACAGACCUCAGCCAAAAGAUGACACAUUGGCAGGUAAACUAGUCAUGUGGAGUUUGGUAGUGCACUCUCAGACAAAGGGGAAUAACUCUAUAUUCAACGAGAUCCUGAACCCUAGUCAUCAAUUCUCAAAACCAACAGGCCAGGGACCUGAUAUUGUGUCUGUAGCAUACUUGGAUGAAGGGCUAUCAGAUGAUAGCCACAGACUUGACACAACUGCAGCAUAAAAAGGUCAGCAUGCGAGCAAAACUGGAGGGGUACAAAUGUAAACACCUGGAGCAUGGUCAUAGACUUCUACAGACAUAUACAGGUGUGAUAAUUGGGUCACAGACUUCUACAGGUGAGAUAAAUAGGUCACAGACUUCUACAGGUGAGAUAAACAGGUUGCAGACUUCUGCAGGUGAGAUAAGUAGGUCACAGAUUUCUACAGGUGAGAAAAUUACAUCACAGAUUUCUACAGGUGAGAAAAUUAGGUCACAGUCUUCACUAGCCCUCCACCUCUUGGUUGUGAGUUUGAAAUCUACAUGGAGCAGUUGCCAGGUACUGACCGUAGGUCGGUAGUUUUUCUCCGGGUACUCCAGCUUUCCUCCCCCUUGAAAACCAUGCACGUCCUUAAAUGUGCCUGGCUGUUAAUAGGAUAUAAACAAACCAAACCAAAUAAUCCAUGCAUUAGUGUAUACAUGGAAUACAGCUCAGAUCAGAUUUAAGUUUCUUUUUCUUUAUUACAUAGAACUUUGCUCAGAUGAGAUAAUUCUAUUAAUUAUAAUACCUAUAUUUUACUCAAGUGAGCUUUACAAGUAUUACUAAAAUAUAUAAUAUGAUUUCAUUUUGUAUAUUAUAAUUAUGUAACAUCAAUGAAGUUAGAUAGUUAUACAUUUAUAUAUAUUAAACAAACUUAAUUUUGUCAUUAUAUUCCUAUUAAAGAUGUAUGAUCAUUGUAUUUCAGGUCUUUGAAGAUUUUCUUACCUGAGUGUCUGUUUGGUGGUUCCCCGUCUUGUACACAGAAAUCUGUACACAGAGCUGUCAUUUACAGAAUUUCUCAGCAGAUACAUGUAGCUGUCCGAGGAUUAAGCUGUCUCCCAGACUAAUCGGUUGGCAGAUAUCGAUGAUAUAUACUUCUGACAUAACUAGUGAUGGAUUUGCUCCAACUAACUGUGGAAAGCGGUGAACAAAAUGAGCUGGAUAAUGACCGGAUAUGGUGGGUUGAAGGGAGCAUGCAGUGUCCAGUGCCAGCCUGUGGUUCUUUAGAACAUACAAGCGGAUGAGGAUCCAUUGGGUGGAUAAACACCGGGCAGAACUGGUCAAGUACCAGUGUACCCUGUGAACCUUUACCCAGUAUUGUGUUCCGCAACUCAUAAGUCCCUAUGUGUGGAGGCAUCAGAAGUCCACAAAGGAGGCCAAGGUGGCAGUGAAGGCAACAGAGGGGGUGGAAGGACCAAACCGGAAGUACAUCCCGACAGGGGGAGUCCUGAUUCCUCUGAGACCAGUCCCCGAGCGUUUAACAGCGUAUUGGGAGAGUGUCCAGCAGAGGAGACAUAUGGCUGCUUGGGCUGGCUUAGGGCCUUUGGAGACUUCUUUUGUACAUCAGUGCAGGGAUCAGGAGGUGAGAUUCCGGAGAGACGAAGAGGGGAAGCCCAUAGCAACCACUGUAACUCAUGGACUGGGAUCCACCAGGGAGGAAACCAGGAUCGAGACAGGGGACCUAGACUACCUGGACCUGAUGGAGGAUUAGCCGUCUAAUAUCAGUGAUAGUUUAUUUUGAUGGACAGUUUAUUACAAAUACAGAUAUUCUGAUUGUGAUCGGGUGAAAUAUAGGGUACAACAUUAUAUGAACUCUGAUCUCUGUUUGUAUAUAUACUAUAUAAUUCUGCUCAGGCAGGGUAAAGUUUAUUUUUGUUAUUGGUUAUAUUUGUUGAUAUUUACUAUACACUUGUUAACUUUGAUUACUAUUUGAUAAACGUUGAUUUUGUUUCACUGUUGAGACUUUACAAAUGUUAUAUAUAUUUCAAGUUUAAAUCAAUGUUGUUCAAACGGGGACUUACUUUUUCAAAGAAGGGAGGUGUGUAGCGGGGGAUGUUCCUGUUUGUAUGUUGUCAGGGUAAGCUGACUAGUCAAGCUUUUCUCUAUGUUGUGUAUUGUGUGUGUGUACCUGUCACUGUGACCGUUGUUGUACUCCAAUCACAUGCCCUGUCUGUGUUGAUGUUUUUGUCGUGUAGUUGUCGCUUGCUUUCUCGUGGGAGUCCGUCUUACCCGUGUACCUCUGUGUGUCCUGUGUUGUGAUUGGUUGUUUAGUUUCGUAUUGGGUGAUAAAUUCAGGCUUUUACUUGUAUACUGGGCAGUCUGGCGGAUUGAGUUCCUGCAUGCUGUCACUUUCUCUUCUCAGGUAUUUAUAGUUAGGUUAAGUUUUAGGUAAAUAACUUUAAGGAGUGGGCUGGGAUGGGUUAAGUUUUGUAGCUAUUGUCGGGUAUGGGGGGUCGGUAUAUGUAGAAUGUAGUAUUAUUGGUUGGCUAGGCCUAGGCUGAUUGUCUCUGUUCAUGUGUUAAUUGUUGUAAAUAUUUAUGUUAUUCAUAAUAAAUUGUUAACUGUUA